rnacentral:rRNA from 1 species
UGGGGAAUAUUGCACAAUGGGCGCAAGCCUGAUGCAGCCAUGCUGCGUGUAUGAAGAAGGCCUUCGGGCUGUAAAGUACUUUCAGCGGGGCGGAAGGGAGUAAAGUUAAUACCUUUGCUCAUUGACGUUACCCGCAGAAGAAGCACCGGCUAACUCCGUGCCAGCAGCCGCGGUAAUACGGAGGGUGCAAGCGUUAAUCGGAAUUACUGGGCGUAAAGCGCACGCAGGCGGUUUGUUAAGUCAGAUGUGAAAUCCCCGGGCUCAACCUGGGAACUGCAUCUGAUACUGGCAAGCUUGAGUCUCGUAGAGGGGGGUAGAAUUCCAGGUGUAGCGGUGAAGUGCAUAGAGAUCUAGAGGCAUACCGGUGGCGAAGGCGGCCCCCUGGACGAAGACUGACGCUCAGGUGCGAAAGCGUGGGGAGCAAACAGG